GAUGAACGCUGGCGGCGUGCCUAAUACAUGCAAGUCGAGCGAACAGACGAGGAGCUUGCUCCUCUGACGUUAGCGGCGGACGGGUGAGUAACACGUGGAUAACCUACCUAUAAGACUCGGAUAACUUCGGGAAACCGGAGCCAAUACCGGAUAAUAUAUUGAACCGCAUGGUUCAAUAGUGAAAGACGGUCUUGCUGCCACUUAUAGAUGGAUCCGCGCCGCACUAGCUAGUUGGUAAGGUAACGGCUUACCAAGGCGACGACGGGUAGCCGACCUGAGAGGGGGAGCGGCCACGGGGGCACUGAGACAGGGUCCAGGCUCCGACGGGGGGGAGCAGUAGGGGAUGGGCAGCAAUGGGCGAGGGCGGGAGGGAGCAGCGGCGCGGGAGUGAUGGGGGUGUUCGGAUCGGAGAAGUCUGCUAUUAGGGAAGAAGAAAUGGGUAAGUAGCUGGGCGGGUCGUGACGGUAGCUGAAGAGAAAGCCACGGCUAACUACGUG
rnacentral:rRNA from 1 species